AUUGAACGCUGGCGGAAUGCUUUACACAUGCAAGUCGAACGGUAGAGGGGGCAACCCCUCGAGAGUGGCGAACGGGUGAGUAAUAUAUCGGAACGUGCCCAGUCGUGGGGGAUAACGUAGCGAAAGUUACGCUAAUACCGCAUACGCCCUACGGGGGAAAGCUGGGGACCUUCGGGCCUGGCGUUAAUGGAGCGGCCGAUAUCUGAUUAGCUAGUUGGUGAGGUAAAGGCUCACCAAGGCGACGAUCAGUAGCUGGUCUGAGAGGACGACCAGCCACACUGGAACUGAGACACGGUCCAGACUCCUACGGGAGGCAGCAGUGGGGAAUUUUGGACAAUGGGCGCAAGCCUGAUCCAGCCAUUCCGCGUGAGUGAAGAAGGCCUUCGGGUUGUAAAGCUCUUUCGCAAGGGAAGAAAACUUAGCCACUAACAUUGGUUGAGGUUGACGGUACCUUGAUAAGAAGCACCGGCUAACUACGUGCCAGCCGCCGCCGUAA
rnacentral:rRNA from 1 species